UGAAGGACGUGAUAAGCUGCGAAAAGUCACGGGGAGGUGCAAAUAACCUUUGAUCCGUGAAUCUCCGAAUGGGACAACCCGAUAUCCUGAAGGGAUAUCACCUUACUUAGUAAGGGGCUAACGCAGGGAACUGAAACAUCUUAGUACCUGCAGGAAAAGAAAAUAACAAUGAUUCCCCCAGUAGUGGCGAGCGAACGGGGAAGAGCCCAAACCUCU
rnacentral:rRNA from 1 species